rnacentral:sRNA from 1 species
CGACGAUUCUCUGUGGGCUGCAAGGUCAACGGGAACCGCAAUAAUCUCACUAUAGUGUACUAAAACACACAUGUAUCGACACAUACGCCGGGGUGCCUUGAAAGAGGUCGGUUGUAUGGGAUACAUGGAGGCCCAACC